UACCUGCAUGUGAUUAUAAUUUAACAAAAACCAAGGGGCAUUUUGAAAUGUCCUCGUCUCUCUUCAGUUUUCAACUUUUCUUCGUCGAAAAAAUUUAGAUGGAGAGAGAGAUCGAUCGAUCUCCAUAGAACCCUAAUUAGGGUUUAUCAAAAUUCCAUAAAUCCCCAUUAAUUUGAUUACGUAUUCACUUAUCCACUAACCAAACAGUUUCUAAACCGUAAAUUAAUUAAUUCUACCUCUGAAGUGAAAAACCAAAAGCCAUCACAUGAAACCUCCAGCGAUUAGAGUUUUCUUGAUCUGUUUCUUAUUAUUCACCACUUCCAUUCAUGGAGAUGAGUCCAAAAAGAACAAAUUUCGAGACCGAGAAGCCACGGACGAUGCCCUUGGUUACCCUGACAUAGAUGAGGACGCGUUGUUGAAUACACGGUGCCCUAGAAAUCUAGAGCUGAGAUGGCAAACCGAAGUGAGUUCUAGCGUUUACGCUACUCCAUUGAUUGCCGAUAUCAAUAGUGACGGAAAACUUGAUGUAGUGGUUCCUUCUUUUGUUCACUAUCUUGAAGCUCUAGAAGGUUCUGAUGGAGACAAAAUCCCAGGUUGGCCUGCAUUUCACCAAUCAACGGUGCAUGCAAGUCCUCUCCUAUAUGAUAUUGACAAGGAUGGUGUGAGGGAGAUUGCUUUGGCUACUUACAAUGGUGAAGUUCUCUUCUUCAGGGUUUCAGGAUACAUGAUGACUGAUAAACUGGAAGUGCCUCGUAGGAGAGUUAAAAAGAAUUGGUAUGUGGGUCUGGAUCCAGAUCCCGUGGAUCGUUCUCACCCAGAUGUUCAUGAUGACCAACUUGUCUUAGAGGCUACUGAGAACAAAUCACAGUCUCACACAACUGGAAAUACACAUCAAAAUACACCUGAAACAAAUUCUUCGAUUUCUACAUCAACAGAAAAUAGUCAUCCAGCAAAUGCAUCAAUUGAGACUGGAAAGAAAAUGAGCGAGAAUCAAACGAAAACAAUGAUCAAACUGUCCUCGCAAGUCGAUAAUUCUUCUGUAGGUGCUGGGUCAAAUGGAACAGAUAAUGCUCAGAAUGGAACCAAUAAAACUCAGAAUGGAACCAUUACAGUAGAGAAGGAAACCAAUAAUGCAGAGAAUGGAACAAACACUGGAAGAAGGCUUCUCGAAGAUGACAAUUCAAAGGGCUCACAUGAAGGUGGCUCAGAAUCUAAAGAGAAUGACCAUGAAAAUGUUCAUGCGGCAACUGUUGAAAAUGAUGAAGGGUUAGAAGCAGAUGCAGAUUCAUCUUUUGAGCUAUUCCGUGAAAGUGAUGAAUUAGCCGAUGAGUACAGUUAUGACUAUGAUGAUUAUGUUGAUGAAUCCAUGUGGGGAGAUGAAGAAUGGAAAGAAAGGAAACAUGAGAGAUUAGAGGAUUAUGUGAAUAUUGACUCGCAUAUCUUGUGCACUCCUGUGAUUGCUGAUAUUGAUAAUGAUGGAGUAACUGAAAUGAUUGUUGCAGUUUCGUAUUUCUUUGAUCAUGAGUAUUAUGACAAUCCUGAGCAUUUGAAAGAGCUUGGUGAUAUCGAUGUUGGGAAAUAUGUUGCCAGUUCUGUUGUUGUAUUCAACCUUGAUACAAAGCAAGUUAAGUGGACUCGAGAACUAGAUUUAAGUACAAGUACUGCAAAAUUUCGUGCAUAUAUAUACUCUUCGCCUUCGGUGGUUGAUUUGGAUGGUGAUGGGAACUUGGACAUUCUUGUUGGGACUUCAUUUGGCUUGUUCUAUGUCCUAGAUCAUCAUGGAAAUAUUAGGGAAAAUUUCCCUCUGGAAAUGGCUGAAAUUCAAGGCGCUGUAGUUGCAGCUGAUAUCAAUGAUGAUGGAAAAAUUGAACUAGUGACCACUGAUGUACAUGGAAAUGUUGCUGCAUGGACAUCACAAGGAAAAGAAAUUUGGGAAAAGCACCUUAAGAGUCUUGUUUCCCAGGGUCCAACUAUAGGCGAUGUUGAUGGGGAUGGCCAUACUGAUGUUGUAGUCCCUACACUAUCAGGUAACAUAUAUGUUCUUAGUGGCAAGGAUGGUUCUAUUGUUCGGCCUUACCCAUACAGAACUCAUGGGAGAGUGAUGAAUCAAGUUCUUCUUCUUGACUUAAGUAAACGUGGGGAGAAAAACAAGGGACUCACACUUGUUACAACAUCAUUCGAUGGUUAUCUUUACCUUAUAGAUGGACCAACUUCUUGUGCUGAUGUUGUUGAUAUUGGUGAAACCUCAUAUAGCAUGGUCUUGGCAGACAAUGUUGAUGGUGGAGAUGAUCUUGAUCUCAUAGUUUCAACAAUGAAUGGAAAUGUCUUUUGCUUUUCAACUCCUGUUCCACAUCAUCCCCUGAAGGCUUGGAGAUCUAAUAAUCAAGGAAGAAACAAUGUAGCGAACCGCUACAACCGUGAAGGGGUGUAUAUUAAACCUUCAUCAAGAAGUUUCCGUGAUGAGGAGGGGAAGAGCUUCUGGGUGGAAUUUGAGAUUGUGGACAAGUAUAGAAUCCCGUCUGGGUCUCAAGCACCUUAUAAUGUCACUACAACCCUGUUAGUUCCUGGCAAUUAUCAAGGUGAACGACGGAUAAAGCAAAAUCAAAUCUUUGAUCGUCCAGGAAAAUAUCGGAUAAAACUUCCAACAGUUGGAGUGAGAACUACUGGAACUGUUUUGGUGGAGAUGGUUGAUAAGAAUGGACUCUAUUUCUCAGAUGACUUCUCGCUUACAUUCCACAUGCAUUACUAUAAACUGCUGAAGUGGCUCCUUGUCCUCCCAAUGCUUGGAAUGUUUGGUGUGCUUGUCAUCCUUCGUCCACAAGAGGCCGUGCCCUUGCCAUCAUUUUCAAGGAAUACUGACUUGUGAUUAUCAUGUUCCACCCGAUACCCAUGGUGUGCCAAGCUGACCAAAGGGAAACGGUAGUUUCAGCCGAACAAAGGCUGGAUCCUAACAGUGGCCAAGAUAAAAAUUUCAGGUCCAUGAGAAGUUUUUGGAAGUUGAUAUCGCAGAUAUUUGGCUAUGUAGGGAAGCUGUUGAAGAUGAAACACUGUACUGGGUGGUCACGAACAAUGCAAAGUAAGUGUUUUUUUUUUUUUUUUAUUGGGUUUAAGAGAAGGACUAUAAUCUCAAAGUUUGUGUUAUUUAUAACGUAGUGUAUUGAUGAAAAUUAUAAAUGGAGCUGCGAAGAAGAGAGUGAAAUAUUUGUGUAUGGAGUUUAUUAUUAUUUUUAUUUAGUGCUUUA